CAGUCGCCACGGUAAUACGUAGGGUGCAAGCGUUAAUCGGAAUUACUGGGCGUAAAGCGUGCGCAGGCGGUUUUGUAAGACAGAGGUGAAAUCCCCGGGCUCAACCUGGGAACUGCCUUUGUGACUGCAAGGCUAGAGUACGGCAGAGGGGGAUGGAAUUCCGCGUGUAGCAGUGAAAUGCGUAGAUAUGCGGAGGAACACCGAUGGCGAAGGCAAUCCCCUGGGCCUGUACUGACGCUCAUGCACGAAAGCGUGGGGAGCAAACAGGAUUAGAGACCCGAGUAGUCCCUGUCUCUUAUAC
rnacentral:rRNA from 1 species